rnacentral:rRNA from 1 species
UUUGAACGGAGAGUUCGAUCCUGGCUCAGGAUGAACGCUGGCGGCGCGCCUAACACAUGCAAGUCGAACGAUUAAAGCACCUUCGGGUGUAUAUAAAGUGGCGAACGGCUGAGUAACACGUGGGCAACCUGCCUUUUGCUUUGGGAUAGCCAUGGGAAACUGUGGGUAAUACCGAAUAAUCCGCUAACCUCGCAUGAAGUUAGCGGCAAAGCUUUUGCGGCAAAAGAUGGGCCCGCGGCCUGUUAGCUUGUUGGUGAGGUAGAAGCUCACCAAGGCGAUGAUGGGUAGCCGGGUUGAGAGACCGACCGGCCAGAUUGGGACUGAGACACGGCCCAGACUCCUACGGGAGGCAGCAGUGGGGAAUCUUGCGCAAUGGGCGAAAGCCUGACG